ACACCUGGAAUAAUCCGUAAAAAAAGAAGGAAAAUUCAGAGCCCACUACCAAGACUCCCUCCAACUAGCCCAGACAUGGAGUGUUUUUCCAAUUAACAAGCACCACAUUUUUAGCCAUUGAUCUUUGCAUCUAUAUUGGCAAGACGACUAUCUGCUUCAAGAUCUUUAGCUUUAGUCACUAUAUUCUCAUACCCCUUGUCACCGGGCAUCAUCCCCAUAAAGUAUGCAUCAUCAUGUUCAUAUAAAGGAUGUCACUGUCUUGAAUCAAAUUUUCCUGGAUCUUGCACCUCCAGCUUACAACGAACCGAUCACUCCAGCUUUCUCAAAAUUCAAAACAAAACAUGUUAGAAUGGACUUAGUCUGUCCUUAUUAUUAACAAUAUCUUUUUCUUUUGCGUUUUCUUUUUUUUCAAUUUUUUUUUGUUGUGGUCGAAUCUUUUGGAGAUUGCCUACGUAUCAUGACCCCGCAUGAAUCAGACCUUGCGUAGUUCGGACCAAUAAAAGAUAAAUAAUAAUAAAACAUUUUUUUGGAAUUUUCAACUUUCAUAACAAAACCAACUUUAAUUACAAUGGGUUAAAACGGACCAUACUAUCAAAAUUUGACAAAAAGUCAACAUACAGACUCGAAAUUAAAACAACCCGCAUAUUCUAUCAAAAGAAUAAAACCCAAAAACAAACGGGUAGAUUAAUUUAC
rnacentral:lncRNA from 1 species